rnacentral:rRNA from 1 species
CGGAGCGUGUGGUUUAAUUCGAGGCUACACGAAGAACCUUACCAGGGUUUGACAUGCAAGUGGUAGGAAUCCGAAAGGUGACCGACCUUCGGGGAGCUUGCACAGGUGCUGCAUGGCUGUCGUCAGCUCGUGUCGUGAGAUGUUCGGUUAAGUCCGCUAACGAGCGCAACCCUCGCUGUGUGUUAUAUGUGUCACACGGGACUGCCGGUUUUAAGCCGGAGGAAGGUGAGGAUGACGUCAAGUCAGCAUGGCCUUUAUAUCUUGGGCUACACACACGCUACAAUGGGCGGAACAAUAGGUUGCCAAACCGCGAGGUGGAGCCAAUCCUUAAAUCCGUCCUCAGUUCAGAUUGCAGGCUGCAACCCGCCUGCAUGAAGAUGGAGUUGCUAGUAAACGCAGGUCAGCUAUACUGCGUUGAAUACGUUCCCGGGCCAU